rnacentral:rRNA from 1 species
CACGGGGGGAGCAAGCGUUGUUCGGAAUCACUGGGCGUAAAGGGCGUGUAGGCGGUCAAGUAAGUGGGAUGUGAAAUGCCCCGGCUCACCCGGGGACCUGCAUCCCAAACUGCUUGGCUUGAGUAUGGGAGAGGAUGAGGGAAUUCCUGGUGUAGCGGUGAAAUGCGUAGAUAUCAGGAGGAACACCGGUGGCGAAAGCGCUCAUCUGGCCCAAUACUGACGCUGAGGCGCGAAAGCUAGGGGAGCAAACGGG